rnacentral:rRNA from 1 species
UACAGGCUUAACACAUGCAAGUCGAGGGGUAGCAUUUCAGUUUGCUUGCAAACUGGAGAUGGCGACCGGCGCACGGGUGAGUAACACGUAUCCAACCUGCCGAUAACUCGGGGAUAGCCUUUCGAAAGAAAGAUUAAUACCCGAUGGCAUAAUUAGACCGCAUGGUCUUAUUAUUAAAGAAUUUCGGUUAUCGAUGGGGAUGCGUUCCAUUAGGCAGUUGGUGAGGUAACGGCUCACCAAACCUUCGAUGGAUAGGGGUUCUGAGAGGAAGGUCCCCCACAUUGGAACUGAGACACGGUCCAAACUCCUACGGGAGGCAGCAGUGAGGAAUAUUGGUCAAUGGGCGCAGGCCUGAACCAGCCAAGUAGCGUGAAGGAUGACUGCCCUAUGGGUUGUAAACUUCUUUUAUAUGGGAAUAAAGUUUUCCACGUGUGGAAUUUUGUAUGUACCAUAUGAAUAAGGAUCGGCUAACUCCGUGCCAGCAGCCGCGGUAAUACGGAGGAUCCGAGCGUUAUCCGGAUUUAUUGGGUUUAAAGGGAGCGUAGGUGGACAGUUAAGUCAGUUGUGAAAGUUUGCGGCUCAACCGUAAAAUUGCAGUUGAUACUGGCUGUCUUGAGUACAGUAGAGGUGGGCGGAAUUCGUGGUGUAGCGGUGAAAUGCUUAGAUAUCACGAAGAACUCCGAUUGCGAAGGCAGCUCACUGGACUGCAACUGACACUGAUGCUCGAAAGUGUGGGUAUCAAACAGGAUUAGAUACCCUGGUAGUCCACACAGUAAACGAUGAAUACUCGCUGUUUGCGAUAUACAGUAAGCGGCCAAGCGAAAGCAUUAAGUAUUCCACCUGGGGAGUACGCCGGCAACGGUGAAACUCAAAGGAAUUGACGGGGGCCCGCACAAGCGGAGGAACAUGUGGUUUAAUUCGAUGAUACGCGAGGAACCUUACCCGGGCUUAAAUUGCAUUUGAAUAUAUUGGAAACAGUAUAGCCGUAAGGCAAAUGUGAAGGUGCUGCAUGGUUGUCGUCAGCUCGUGCCGUGAGGUGUCGGCUUAAGUGCCAUAACGAGCGCAACCCUUAUCUUUAGUUACUAACAGGUCAUGCUGAGGACUCUAGAGAGACUGCCGUCGUAAGAUGUGAGGAAGGUGGGGAUGACGUCAAAUCAGCACGGCCCUUACGUCCGGGGCUACACACGUGUUACAAUGGGGGGUACAGAAGGCAGCUACCUGGUGACAGGAUGCUAAUCCCAAAAGCCUCUCUCAGUUCGGAUCGAAGUCUGCAACCCGACUUCGUGAAGCUGGAUUCGCUAGUAAUCGCGCAUCAGCCAUGGCGCGGUGAAUACGUUCCCGGGCCUUGUACACACCGCCCGUCAAGCCAUGAAAGCCGGGGGUACCUGAAGUACGUAACCGCAAGGAGCGUCCUAGGGUAAAACUGGAAA